UAGUCGGUGAAAGUCCGACCGAGGUAAAAGGCUCAAGCCUCGUAGCUAGGGAGGCAUCGUGGAGCGAGAGCAAGACGAUGGAGCCCUCCGACAACAUAUUCAGAAAGGAAUAUGCGCAAUGCACCAGGCUGUAAUGUAA
rnacentral:ncRNA from 1 species